rnacentral:rRNA from 1 species
UACGUAGGGAGCGAGCGUUAUCCGGAUUUAUUGGGCGUAAAGAGUUCGUAGGCGGUUUGUUUAGUCUAAAAUCAAAACGUGGGGCUUAACUCCAUCUCGUUUUAGAAACUGGCAGACUUGAGUGUGGUAGAGGCAAGUGGAAUUUCUAGUGUAGCGGUUAAAUGCGUAGAUAUUAGAAGGAACACCAGUGGCGAAGGCGGCUUGCUGGGCCAUUACUGACGCUGAGGAACGAAAGCGUGGGGAGCAAAUAGG